rnacentral:rRNA from 1 species
AUUGAACGCUGGCGGCAUGCCUAACACAUGCAAGUAGAGCGGAGCGGCGGACGGGUGAGUAAUGACUAGGAAUCUGCGUGGGAGUGGGGGAGAACGUCCGGAAAAGGGCGCUAAUACCGAAUAAUAUCAGAUGAGCCGAGGUCGGAUUAGCUAGUGGGUGGGGUAAAGGCCUACCAAGGCGACGAACAGUAACUGGUCUGAGAGGAUGAGUAGUCACACUGGAACUGAGACACGGUCCAGACUCCUACGGGAGGCAGCAGUGGGGAAUAUUGGACAAUGGGCGAAAGCCUGAUCCAGCCAGGCCGCGUGUGUGAAGAAGGUCUUCGGAUUGUAAAGCACUUUAAGUUGGGAGGCGUUACCAACAGAAUAAGCACCGGCUAACGUCGUGCCAGCAGCCGCGGUAAUAC